GAAUAGAUACCCAGGUAGUCCACGCCCUAAAACGAUGCGAACUGGAUGUUGGGUACAUUACGGUACUCAGUGUCGAAGCUAACGCGUUAAGUUCGCCGCCUGGGGAGUACGGUCGCAAGACUGAAACUCAAAGGAAUUGACGGGGGCCCGCACAAGCGGUGGAGUAUGUGGUUUAAUUCGAUGCAACGCGAAGAACCUUACCUGGCCUUGACAUCUGUCGAAUCCUGCAGAGAUGCGGGAGUGCCGCAAGGAACGACAAGACAGGUGCUGCAUGGCUGUCGUCAGCUCGUGUCGUGAGAUGUUGGGUUAAGUCCCGCAACGAGCGCAACCCUUGUCCCUAGUUGCCAGCACGUAAUGGUGGGAACUCUAGGGAGACUGCCGGUGACAAACCGGAGGAAGGUGGGGAUGACGUCAAGUCCUCAUGGCCCUUACGGCCAGGGCUACACACGUACUACAAUGGUCGGUACAGAGGGUUGCGAAGCCGCGAGGUGGAGCCAAUCCCGAGAAAACCGACUCCCAGUCCGGAUCGGAGUCUGCUAACCG
rnacentral:rRNA from 1 species